CAGGUGGAGAACAUGUUGAGGACAUGUGGAGGACAUGUGGAGAACAUGUGGAGAACAUGUGGAGGACAGGUUGAGAACAUGUGGAGGACAUGUGGAGGACAUGUUGAGAACAUGUGGAGGACAUGUGGAGGACAUGUGGAGGACAUGUUGAGAACAUGUGGAGGACAGGUUGAGGACAUGUGGAGGACAGGUUGAGAACAUGUGGAGGACAUGUGGAGGACAUGUGGAGAACAUGUGGAGGACAGGUUGAGAACAUGUGGAGGACAUGUGGAGGACAUGUGGAGGACAGGUUGAGAACAUGUGGAGGACAUGUGGAGGACAUGUGGAGGACAUGUGGAGGACAUGUGGAGGACAGGUUGAGAACAUGUGGAGGACAGGUUGAGAACAUGUGGAGGACAGGUUGAGAACAUGUGGAGGACAGGUUGAGAACAUGUGGAGGACAGGUUGAGAACAUGUGGAGGACAGGUUGAGAACAUGUUGAGGACAUGUGGAGGACAUGUGGAGGACAGGUUGAGAACAUGUGGAGGACAUGUGGAGGACAUGUGGAGAACAUGUGGAGGACAGGUUGAGAACAUGUGGAGGACAGAUUGAGAACAUGUUGAGGACAUGUGGAGGACAUGUGGAGGACAGGUUGAGAACAUGUGGAGGACAUGUGGAGGACAGGUUGAGAACAUGUGGAGGACAGGUUGAGAACAUGUGGAGGACAUGUGGAGGACAGGUUGAGAACAUGUGGAGGACAGGUUGAGAACAUGUGGAGGACAGGUUGAGGACAUGUGGAGGACAGGUGGAGAACAUGUUGAGGACAUGUGGAGGACAUGUGGAGGAUAUGUAUCUUUGGGAAUGUGCCAAAUAUUUCAAAAUAGAUCCCAUGAUGUUCUCAUUGUCGUCCAGUUAUUAUGAGGUUAUUAAAUUGAUGUGUGUGUGUUCUGAUUCUAUAGAUCAGUAGCUGACAAAUUGGUAAAAUUAUUGUGGUUUCUAUGAGCGACGUGACGUGUGAACCAAAUCAUUCUGAAAUUAAUUUGUGAAUUUAUUUUAGCAUCAUAUUGUUUAAUAAAAACUCAAAGGAUU